UCAGAUUUAAAAAAAAAGAUACACAUAUACAGCAUAAUCAUAACCAGCAAAUUACAACCUUUCUAUAGACCACUUUCUUGACCUCCUUGGUACAAGAUUUGGUGCAGCUAUAGAACCUUGGUUGCAAUAAUGAUCUAUAUGGUCACAGUUCAUGUCAGUAAUGUCAAACAUACCAAGUUGUACUCUGCACUGUUGGCUUUUUAAAGCAGGAGAUUAACAAGUAUAGGUCUCUUUAAUUUAUCCUACUGGAUGUUAAAGCUGUUAAUUGUAGUAUUCUGUUUGUUCUGCCCUUUGAGGAUGUGAUGUUAAAAGAGGCCUUUCAGGGGGAGUUGGGUGCCUUCCUCUUGUGUUACAUUCAGUCAUUUCUGGCUACUUGGUGCUAGGAUUUAACUUAGUGAAAAUUUAGAUAAGGAAAAUGUUUCAUUCAUUUUAUUGUGCAGUUUUCCCAAAACAACCAGGACUCUUUGAAUGAAGGAAAAAAAAAAUCUGUUCAAAACAUCAUAAAUACCAGUGUUUGAGUUUUGUGUAAACUUAGUAUGGAAUGUACCAAAAGGUGUUAUUGUGCUCUUCCCCAGUUAUUAAUUUGGAAUUUUGUGUUAAUUGUACAUGUGCCACCAAACAAAAUAAACCAGAAGAUUUCAGGGUGGACAAUAAUCAUUUAAAGAGUGAAAUGAGCAAGAACUUAAAAAGGCUUCCUUGGCAGCCUUCAGACUUUUCAGAGACUUCCCUGAGAAACAUUUAUAUGUGAUUUCAGAAUGGCUGAGUUCAGGGUUGACUGCAGUGCAUCUCUUGCAGGUAUGUCGUCUCAUCCUUGACACAAAGCAGAGCGGAGAUCAAUUUGGUGAAAAAAGGAAGAAGCGAACACUUCAAAGGCACAAGAUCUGCAGGCCAAAAGUUGGUGUUUACGACUUCUGGUUUAUAGAAAGUAAAUAUGAUCCUGCUUCUACACACGUUGAAUAUGAUCAGAAUGUUCUUAAAUGUUUGUUUUUACACUACUGUAAAAUGAAUAGCCUCCAUAUUCCAGAUGAGGAUACCAUUGGAUUACAUAAAACCAUAGAAGGUAAAAAUGAAGCUCUGCUGUAUAUCAAAUGGGAUCUUGGAAUUCACUGACGUCCUGCCAAGAAAAAAAGGAGAGUUGCUCCAGGCCACAUGCAUGACCACAGUUCAUAAAAGAGCUCUUCACACAACUACUCCUCCCACCUGGAGGAUUUUCUAACAUCUUAUGGGAAACCUUUACUGGAAUAUUCUGGAAGAGGAAGGUGAUCCUCAGGAG